rnacentral:rRNA from 1 species
UGGGGAAUAUUGGACAAUGGGCGCAAGCCUGAUCCAGCCAUGCCGCGUGAGUGAUGAGGGCCUUAGGGUUGUAAAGCUCUUUCGACGGGGACGAUAAUGACGGUACCCGUAGAAGAAGCCCCGGCUAACUUCGUGCCAGCAGCCGCGGUAAUACGAAGGGGGCUAGCGUUGCUCGGAAUCACUGGGCGUAAAGGGCGCGUAGGCGGACAUUUAAGUCAGAGGUGAAAGCCCAGGGCUCAACCCUGGAACAGCCUUUGAUACUGGGUGUCUCGAGACCGGAAGAGGUUGGUGGAACUGCGAGUGUAGAGGUGAAAUUCGUAGAUAUUCGCAAGAACACCGGUGGCGAAGGCGGCCAACUGGUCCGGUUCUGACGCUGAGGCGCGAAAGCGUGGGGAGCAAACAGGAUUAGAUACCCUGGUAGUCCACGCCGUAAAACGAUGGAUGCUAGCCGUUGGCGGGUUUACCCGUCAGUGGCGCAGCUAACGCGUUAAGCAUCCCGCCUGGGGAGUACGGUCGCAAGAUUAAAACUC